rnacentral:lncRNA from 1 species
GGACGCGGGCUGCGUGGUUGGUGUACAGCGUUGCUGUUUUGCUGUCACGUACCUUCCCGGAGCCUGGGACUGAGGGGGCGCGCGCGUGACGAGUGACCAAAACCAAAGACGGCCAUGAAGUGAGAUCCUGCAAAGUAGCUGAUAGAACGGGAAGCAUCACUAUUUCUGUGUGGGAUGAGAUCGGAGGGCUCAUACAGACAGGGGAUAUUAUUCGAUUGACCAGAGGAUAUGCAUCAAUGUGGAAAGGAUGCCUGACACUUUAUACUGGAAGAGGUGGUGAACUUCAAAAAAUUGGAGAAUUUUGUAUGGUGUAUUCAGAAGUGCCAAAUUUCAGUGAGCCAAACCCAGAUUAUAGAGGACAGCAGAACAGAGUGGUACAAAAUGAACAGAAGGAUAAAAUGAACACCAGUAUAUUCGGGACAGUGGGAAAUGGUGUUCAGACUGGCCCUGAAUCUAGGGGAUAUCCUCUUCAAUAUGGCAGAAGCAAUGGCCCAGGACCCAUCAGUCCACAGCUACCAGGAGAACCUAGUAAUCAAACAGUCAGGACCACAAUAAGUAAUGCCAGAGAUCCGAGGAGAGCCUUUAAAAGAUGACCUAAGCCAAAGAGACACAUGUAGUUUUUAAACUACGUGACCUACUUGAACACUUAGUGCACUUUUAUUUAUUCUUAACUGUGAAAACUUUGUCUCUUACGGGUUUCCUUUUAUAUUUUUGGUUUGUUAAAAAGAGUGGUUGGUUUUUACUGAAAAACUGUUACGCUGCUCAGUUCCAUCCUGUUGAAGAAUAGGAACUCUGAAA